AGUGAACGCUGGCGGUAGGCCUAACACAUGCAAGUCGAACGGCAGCACAGUAAGAGCUUGCUCUUACGGGUGGCGAGUGGCGGACGGGUGAGGAAUACAUCGGAAUCUACUUUUUCGUGGGGGAUAACGUAGGGAAACUUACGCUAAUACCGCAUACGACCUACGGGUGAAAGCAGGGGAUCUUCGGACCUUGCGCGAUUGAAUGAGCCGAUGUCGGAUUAGCUAGUUGGCGGGGUAAAGGCCCACCAAGGCGACGAUCCGUAGCUGGUCUGAGAGGAUGAUCAGCCACACUGGAACUGAGACACGGUCCAGACUCCUACGGGAGGCAGCAGUGGGGAAUAUUGGGCAAUGGGCGCAAGCCUGAUCCAGCCAUGCCGCGUGGGUGAAGAAGGCCUUCGGGUUGUAAAGCCCUUUUGUUGGGGAAGAAAAGCAGCAGGUUAAUACCCCGCUGUUCUGACGGUACCCAAAGAAUAAGCACCGGCUAACUUCGUG
rnacentral:rRNA from 1 species